rnacentral:rRNA from 1 species
GGAGUCUGGGCCGUAUCUCAGUCCCAAUGUGGCCGUUCAACCUCUCAGAACCCCUACUGAUCGUCGCCUUGGUGGGCCGUUACCCCGCCAACAAGCUAAUCAGACGCAUCCCCAUCCCUCAGCGAUAAAUCUUUAUUCCUAAUCAGAUGCCUUCAAAGGAAACUAUAAGGUAUUAAUCCAUCUUUCGAUGGGCUAUCCCUUACUCAGGGGCAGGUUGGAUACGCGUUACUCACCCAUUCGCCGGUCGACGCCUAAAGAAAGCAAGCUUUCAAUAUCGUUUCCCCUCGACUUGCAUGUGUUAAGCCUGUAGCUAGCGUUCAUC